GGCUGGUCCAAGUGCAGCGGUAUUUACAGCUAAUUGAUCACAACCAGUUACUGAUUCCUUUGUUCCUUCUCCACUCCCACUGCUUCACUUCACUAGCCUUAA
rnacentral:Y_RNA from 1 species